CUCUGGAUCUUACCCUUUAGUUUGGCAAAUAUUGAUCAUGCUCCCAUGUGUUAAGUUCCAGACAUACCUGUUUUCACUUUAAAAUUGUUAGCACAUUUAUUUGUGUUGUGUUAGUCACAGAAAAACUGGGUUUUUCCUUCCACCAUGUGGGUCCUGGGGAUCUCAAGGCAUCAGAAGCCUUUAGUGGAAGAACCUUUACCCCCUGAGCCAAUUCCUCAGCACCACACCUCCAUCUUUUUUUAAAAUUUUAAAAUAUUUCUUUUGUGUGUAUGACUGUGUUUGCCUGCAUGUAUAUAUGUAUACUAUGUACAUACCUGCUGCUCACAGAGGUCAGGGGAGGGCACUGGAUCCCUUGGAACUGGAGUUGCAGACAGUUUUGAGCCACCAUGUGGGUGCUGGGACUCGAACUUGGGCCCUCUGCAAGAGCAAUUAAGUGCUCUAAACCACAGACCAUGACAAAGACAACUCUUAACAUAUAGUUGGUGGACUUCUCAUGUAGAAUUAGCCAUGCAUUUGAUAGCCUGUGUGUGCUGGUUGGUUUUUUCAACCUGAUGCCUGGGAAAGUGGACCCCUUCCUUGAGGGGUUGCCUCCAUCAGAUUGGCCAGUGAGCAAGUCUGAGGGGGGCAUUUUCUUGAUUAAUGAUUGAUGUGGAUAGUGUGACCCCUGGCAGGUGGCCCUGGCUUGUAUAAGUGAACAAGCUGAGGCAGCCAGUGAGCAUUAUCCUCCAUGGCCUCUGCUUCUGUUCUUGCCUCUGGGUUUGCCUUAGCUUCCCUGGAUGAUGGACAGUAUGCUGUAAGACGGAAUUGUAAUGAUAAAUCUUUCUGCCAAGCUGCCCAAGCCCUGCCGCCAUGUGGGUGUCCAAAAUAACACACAGAGUCUUGUAUUAGGUACAAUGCUACUGGCCAAUGACUAAGAUUUCCUAUUUGCUAGCUCUGUCUUAAGUAUCACCCAUAACUAUUAAUCUAUAUAUUUUAUAAACUUAUUUUAUUGAGCACACUGGUGGAAUAUAUCCUGUCUUCCUGGUGAUCACAUGGUGGCUGCUGUCUCUACUACAUUUCCCAGAAUCCUCCUCAACUCCUAGUCCCACCUAACUUGCUCUCCUAUUGGCCAACAGUGCUUUAUUUAUCAACCAAUAAGACAAACAUAUACACACAAGGACCUCCCCCAUAAUUUUCUCUUUUCUGUCUAAGUAAAAAGAAGGGUGUUAACAUUAACAUAGUAAAAUAUAUAACAAAACAGUUAUCAAGUAAGAACUAUAGUUACAAUAUUUAGUCCAUUAACAUUUAGCAAGAUUUAAAGAAAAUAUUCUAUCAUCUAUCCCAUCUUUGUGAGUCUAAAGUCUUAUAUGUAGCUUAUCUUUUAUAAUAACUAAAGAAAACUAUAACCAUAACUAUCUGUCUUCAACUCCAACAAAGACCACAGAAGGAUAAUAAAUAAACUCUAGAACUGACAGAGAUAUCUCGCUGCCUGGACAGUGACCCGAAGUUCCUUUGUAACGUUGGGGCACACUGAUGGAAUUUAUCCUGUCUUCAGUCUAUAGGCCACAGUAUGUCUGGCAGACUUCUCAGUGAAGCAGGAAAUUUUAAACUGUCCACCUGUAUUGGCAGUUUGUCAGCCAAUUUCCUCUGUGUCCUGCAGAAUGUCUGGCAGAUGCUUCCUUGAAGCAGGGACUCUUCACAACUUUCCAUCUUGUUUUCUAAGUUCAGCAGUCACUUUCCUGUGGGUCCUGCAUGUCCAGUUUAUCAAACAGUCCAGACAAGAGCAGUUUCUUGCCCAAAUGGCUAAUCUUGCCACAUUGAAAGCAAACUCCAUAAUGAGUUUCUUCAAUGCCCAUCUUCCUCUCAGAUGUAAUUGGUGUGCCAGGAGCAGUUGUGUCUCACUGCCAUGAAAAACCCUAAACCAUUUAAAUGCCAUAUAUUCUGUAGGUCUUUGUCUAUCCAUCUCAAACACAUCUCUCUAUAGCUAGAAAACCUAACUAACCUAAUUAUAAGUUCUGACUAUUAUAGGUGACUAUAUAAUUUGCAUUUAAUUAUACAUUACAUUUUAAAAGAUCUGUAUAAACACAAUACCAAACAAGAGGAGAAAUUUACAUAUAACAAAAUUAACCUUAAAUUUGUAUCAAUAAAUGAAAAUCCAUACCAAUGUAUUCAUUUCUAUAUUCUAUUCCCCUUUUUUCCUUUAAAAAGAGAUUGACUGUGAUCAUUACCAUUUAUAACCAACCCUAUUUAAAUGAAAACAAACAUUUAUAAACAAUAUUUGGGAACUUGGGCAUCGUUCGUUCCAAACUGCUUCCUGCUGGUUGGGGGUGAUGUCCACACCAUGGGGGAUCAUGAUAAAACACAGAAAUCAGGCCAGUUCCUUGUUUUUGUAGUCUGCAAGGCUGCAUCGUCUCAGCUGUUUUGGAUGUAGGAUCGGUUGGGCCACUGCUUCAGGGGGUCUUGCUUGAUCAAACCAAAUUAGUCUGGAAGGAAUCCACAGCUUUCCAUUUUAUGUGGAAACAUGAAAGGAGAGGAAAAGCUCAUGUCCACCACAAGGCUGAAGAACCUCAGAGCUGCCCAGACUCAAAGACUGCCUACGAGGGGCCAUCUCUCCCAACCAGAAGCAUGGGGCAGAUCCCUGGAGGGCAAGACCUGAAGAAGCCAUGUACAAGAUGCCUUUGAACUGGGAGAUGGCAGGGGCAGGGAGGCUAGAGGCAGGGAAGGUGAGCAAACAUUUCCUGGAAACUUCAGUCUAAAUCCUCUCCUCUCCCACCAUUUUCUGCCAAGGGCUUGCCUUGUAGCAGGAUGUGUUAUCAGCUUGUUGCAAAUUACAUGGUAAACACUGAUCCCCCCUAGUUGAGGCAGUUACCAGUCUCUUUGUUAGAUUAAUAAGAUUACAAGAUCUGGGCAGACUUUCAAAUGUUUCUCUUCAGAGGGUGGUAAGAGCAGCAAGAGGCUCACUGGGUUCCUGGUGUAGGAUCUCUAUUCUCUUCAGAGUGCACAAGAAAGAAAAGGGUUCUUAGGCAGAUCUCUGAGUUUGAGGCCAGCCUGGUCUCCAGGGCAAGUGCCAGGAUAGGCUCCAAAGCUACACAGAGAAACCCUGUCUCGAAAAACCAAAAACCAAACCAAACAACAACAACAAAAAAAAAAAAAAAAAAAAACAAGAAAAAAAAGGGGUUCCUGAUCCUUGGCCUCAGACAGAUUACAGUCAUGAACCAUGUCUCUGGCUUCGUAAUCAAUCAAAUGUUUAUGGUCUCACCUACAUGGCUUUUUCAGUCUUGUCCCAGAUUAUAAAUGGCUUUGAAAGCCACCUUUGCAAUCACUGGUUUCUUACAUCAUUCCUCGGCAUGUGGCCAGAAUGUCUGUCCUUUGGCUUGUAUCUAGACUCAUUCAUGAAGGCUUUUAUUCUGUAAUGCAAAUCACAUCUUCUUGUUGUCUCAUAUUAUGCCAUGUUUUGGAUAGUGUGAUUCCUUAACAAAUAUAAGCCACUUCCAUGUUGGCUGGGCAAGAGAGCAUGGCCCCAGGUGUCCCUGUGCUGGCCCUACUUACAAAUCUUUACAAGGUCCCAUUGUUCUCUCUCACCUCUCCUCUAUAUUCCUGGCUGUGGCUGUGUGUGUGGAUCUGGUACAGAUUGUGGGAAAAUGAAAAGAGGAGACUGUGUCUUGAAGACUUUGCAGCCAGCUGAGUGUGCAGACUUUUAGGAGUCCCCAGAAGCAUCUUCCUUCAGCACAAGUGUGCUCUGAUACCUCAGCCAGCUGCAGUUUCUUUAGGUCCACACACCCCACCUUGGCAAUAACCCAUUGUCUCACAGCCUAAGCAGUGUCAUCUCUCCUGGCUCUUAUUGACUGACCAAGUUCCUCCGACCCAUCGUGCCCUUCUGCACCACAUCACAGUCUUCCAGAUGCAGGACAGGGCUGCCCUUCUGGGACUCAUCCCCGAGUCCGCGCCUUGUCCACAUUCUGACUCACUGACUGAGGGGUAAGGUUCUCACCUGGCUUUGGACUUGAUGGCUUUGUUUACUGAUGCCCUGAGAUGCUAUGAAACCUUUGGGGAGCCUUCUAAGUUUAUUUGUUUUUGCUUUUUUGAGACAGGGUUUCCCUGUGUAACAGCUCUGACUAUCCUAGAACUGCUUUGUAAACCAGGCUGGCCUUGAACUCACAGAGAUCUGCCUGCCUCUGCCUCUUGAGUGCUAGGAUUAAAGGCAUGCACCACCACCAACCAGCCCAAAUUCAUUUUUAUAGCCCCUGUGCUGAGCUUGCAAGGUACUCAGGGACUGGCCAGCUCAAGCAAGGCAGACACGGCUCUGGCAGGCCUCGCCCUUCUCUAUUCCCUCUGCCUUGCUAUAAACCAUCAGAGUACAUUCCUAAAGCUAGCCAUCAAGAUCUAUUCCCUUAUAUAGCCACUUCCUCCUCCUGAAGCUGACCAUCAAGGUCCAGCUAUCAAAGUACUGAAGUCCAGCAAUCAAAAACCCUCUUUGGCUCACUUAGUCAACAUGCCCAAUUAAAAUUAAACACUUCAUCCUAAUAUGGGGUUUCCCUUUGUACCUUUAUAAACUGCCAUUUUCCUACAUACCACAUCUCUCUCCUCUCUAUCCAGAGGCAAUCCUUGUCCUCUGGGACAAAUACCCCUGCCUCCUUUCCUUUGUUCCCUUCCCCUUCUCCCUGGUCCCCUGUCUCCUGUCUUUGUCUCCUAUCUCUGACCUCUGUCCCUCUGGGGCAAAUAAAUCUCCUUUGUGCUGAGAACUUGGUCUUGGGGGUCCUGAGCCCAUACUUUUCCUUUCAAUGCCAAAUACUGAUAAUUUAGUAAAUGUUAAGUGAGUGAAUACAUAAAUGAACACACACAGAAAAAAAAAUAAAUGAACAUGUUAACAGAGAUAAGAGUUAACUUUAUUGAAAGGGCUUUUCAGUGUCCAGAGUUUGUACCCACUGGCUGACAUGGGUAGCUGCACUGCCUAAACUUCACAAGACCAAGAGCCCCAGUCCUGGAUGAGCCUGCCCUGCCCUGCCCACCCCCAAGAGAGAGCAAGGUGGGCACACAUCAACCAGGAGGGAAACAGGCUCAGAAAACACUCUAACUUCUGAGCAGGAAUCAGAAUCCACAUCUUGGGUCGUAACCUUUUAGUCCCCAGCACUCAGGGGACUCAGACAGGAAGGCAAGCCAAGGCGGAGCCGCCUGAGCUGAGUCCCGAAGCACAGAAUGGAGCAUCUCCCCAGUCUGCUCCUGGGACUGGAGGAGCAGCAGGCUGGGCUUGGGAGCUGGGACCUAAGGGACAGUGUGAGGUGUGGGAAGUGGGUGUGACCAAAGCCAGUGGUCAGGAGGGCCCAUGUCAGAGCAGGAUUCAUGGUCUAGGGGUAAGGUACUUGAUUCUGUCUGAGUGGCUCCCAUGUGGGUGGGGUGGGCACUGUAGCUCCUUUGAGGUACUCUGGGUCAGUAGGGGAGGGAGCUGGAGGUUGGGUAGUCAUCUGGUCACGCCAUUGGUGACUGAACAUGAAUUAGAGAAUAGAAAUCUUUGGGGUUUUUUGUUUUGUUUUUUGUUGUUUUGUUUUUAUUUUGUUUGUUUUGUUUGUUUGUUUGUUUGUUUUUGAGUCAAGGUUUCUCUGUGUAACAUCCCUGGCUCUCAUACAACAUGAUUUGUAGACCGGGCUGGCCUUGAACUCAUGAGAUCCUCCUGCCUCUGCUCCCUGAGUGCUGGGAUUAAAGUUGUGCAACACCACACCCAGCUUGGAAUAGAAAUCUUAAAAGAUGAAACAGACACACAAACAGUUGAGAUUCUUUCCCAUACUCCCCUGCCCUCUAUUUUUAGGUCAAAGAAAUUUCUCAACUGAAAGAACUCCCCAGCCUUGGCGGCUCAGGCCAUCAGACCUUUUUUGUUUGUUUGUUUGUUUGUUUGUUUUUCAAGACAGGGUUUCUCUGUGUAGCUUUGGAGCCUAUCCUGGCACAUCAGCCCUUCUUGCUCACUGUCUCCUCUGUUAUCUCUUCCCCUACCCACCGACCACCAAUCUGGAUUACAUCUGUUCAGCUUCCAAAGCUUUGCCAGUACCCAAGCAUCUCUCCAUGGCUGCCAGUGUGGUAGGCUGCACGACCACACCUGUGCACACCUAUAUGUCUGGCUCAGAUUUCUACGGCAGCAGCAGCAGCACCAGGCUGUGCAACUGCCUCUUCUGGUAGAGACUGAGCUCAAUAGCUGGGAAUAUUUUUAUCUUUGUGUUCCUGUGCCUAAGGCAGUACCCAACACAUAGUAAGCAGGAAGUCAAGUGAAUGAGUGUGUGCAUGAAUAAAUGAACCAACCAGUGCAUGCCUGGAUGAGUAUGCGAACAAAUGCCCUCGUGAAGACUGUCUCCCCUCUUUUCCAGCCACUGGGGGCAUGACAGCUUUACACUUGUUAUCCUGGCUUUCAGACUGUGUGUGUCGUCCUGAGAAUGCUUUUAAAGGAAACUUCAUUUUUGGAAAAUUAAUGAGCAUUUCAUUUGGUAAGGUGGCAAGCAUGAAACGCCCCAAAGGAGCAAAAACUAUUUAAGCGUGAGGGAAAGAAAAGAAUAGGGAAAGGCAUGUGGUCUGGGCUGUUGGCUUGCAGUGGCUGGUCUCUUGAGCAUAAUUGUGGACAAAAAUAAUCCCAAGCUUGGGAGACCAGAGGCCCUGUCACAAGUGACCUUGGAAUACAUUUUUAUUUCACCUCCUCUCCUGAGGAGCCAAUGGGGAAAGGCUUUGGAAUUGGCAAGGAACAGCAGGAAAGAGACAUAUUAUUAUUCUGCCUGGACUAUAAAAUAUUGCCUUGAGAAUUCAGAGCUAGCUCCACCUGCUCUCCCCAAAGAAAGACUAUUCUAACAUGACGUGGAUUCCUUUCACUUACUAAGGACUACAUUAAUUAGGAAACGUUUUCUGAGAUGUAAAAUUAAGUCUCUGAGUAAGCACAAUUCUUUUCAGGAAGUAGGAAGCACACGAGUCAAGCAGCCCUACCCUCAGAUGCGAAGCCAUCUGUGAUUUCAGAACAAGCGGUUUUGCUAGCUGGAGGUGGCACGCUGUUGUGAAAUGCUGAAUUAAAUACCACGACACAUUAUUAUGGUUUCAAAAAGUAGUUACAGGCUUCAAUAAGCACACUUUUAUCACAAGAACACACAACCUAAAGCCAAAAUAGUUCAGUUUAGCAUGCCAAAAAUCUGCUCACCCCAUACAUUGUUAGAAAGAGCAGUGGGAAAGGCAUCCAGAAUUUGCUACCAUUUCUCUCGAUGGUAGCCAACACCUCCUAGCUUCUUUGGCAAGGAGGCCAUUUUUGUAUGCUGUAUUUUGCACACAGAAAUCUGAAUACAGUGAUUUGCAUACCAAAACCACAUUUGUAAAAGAAACUGUUUGCAGAAAAGCCAGAGGGAGAUGGGGUUGCCACCAUUGACUUCUAUGUACAACACUCCCGGGUUGCUUGCUUUUUAUUCUCUUCUAUGCUGAAUCCCCACAAAGGGCCAUGUGCUUUAUGAGGCAUUAAAAAUUAAAGCAAAUAUAUCCUGCGUGUUUCUACAAACCUCACUAAUAGUAACAACGCGGGCAGAAUUGUUCCUGCCAACAGCCUGUCCAUUGUUUACUAAAAGGCUUGUAGUGGUAGCGCUAAGCACCACAAUACAUGGAUAUUUUAUUAUAUGUUAUAUUUUAAAUAAAGUCUGUCUUCAGGACAGGUGCCGUGGUACUCUGAUUUACAUAGGGAGAAACUGAGGCAUGGUGAAAUAAGGUACAUUGCCAAAGCCAUGCCAGCCAGGAGUAGUAUAGCCAGGUUUGGAAGCCUGGUCUGAGUGCUCAGACCCUGGUAGCCACCUUUAUCCCCACUGCCAUCCUCUAUCUUUAGUGCUACACCCCCACUUUAGCUGACUCUUCCAGUCUGAGGUGCGGUGCCAUGCUGGCUGAAGGGUACCACUUUUCUGACCAGAGCCUGGAAUUAUGGCAGCCAGACCCAAGGCUUAGAGAAGGCGGCUCAUAGCUAAUCCAGGGGCACACUGGGGUGAAUGGACAAGUGGCUUAUGAUGCUGCCAACAGUGUCAAGAGAGCAGGAUUGGUGGCUGCACAAAGGCCACACGUGGUCAUUGAAAUGCAAUGGAGGUCUUCUGCCCAGUGCGCAUGUGCCUCAGUGCCAGCCCAGCUGUGUACUUGGAAACAUAGCGCUGUCUGUGUGGGCUUAAUUAGAAUGCUGCUUACAGAGACCUUAUCGGUAGCAAGUCAGAUGCUCUGUGCUCUUCGUAAGAGAAAACGUCAGUAGUAGUUCUUUUAAAUUGGUUUAUCUGAUGAGUACUUUGGAUGUUUCCCAUAUACAGCAUUUGAAAGAAAUUAGCCAUUUCUGCAAAGAAAAAGGUCAGAAUGAAAAGGCCACGAAUGCUUGAAAAAAAAAUGGGAUUAUAAACAUUUGCUUUCUUUAAAGGUGUCCUUUUGGUUUUGUGUUUUUCUCUCCCAGUCUCCAUUUUCAGGCAUAAAACUGUAAUACACGUUUAAUCAUAUCCACAUUUAAUCAGGUCAGCAUUGUCCGAAGGCUGGUGGUUCUGAGACCUUCCAGUGUACUAGUUUCUUUUGGAGACCCAUCUUCCUGAUGCUUUCAGUGCUAAGUUCCAUUUGAUGUGAUCUGUAACAGCUCAGCCUUUUGGCAAGUUCCAACCUGAACAAGGAACUGAUGGGCUCCCAAAGCAGUCCCAUCAGGAGAAGUUUGGGCGUGUUGUCAUUACGACUUGACCUUAGUUAAUCUCUGGAGCCUCAGUUCCCUCACCUGUCAAAUAAGAUGACAACAGCUGGCUCUGGGUGCCUGCCCCAUGACCAUUUCUCUCCAUCCCCCUCAUCUCUCUAGUUUAUAAGAACAAUGAUAAACAGAAUAUUCUUGUUUUUCUUUUUUAUUUAAAUUAGAAACAAGCUUCUUUUGCAUGUCAAUCUCAGUUCCCUCUCCCUCCCCUUCUCCCCUGCCCCCCACCAACCCCCUAAUCCAACCCCUUACUGCUCCCCAGGGAGGGUGGGGCCUUCCAUGGGGGAUCUUCAAAGUCUGUCAUAUCAUAUGAUAUGUGCAACAGGGACAAUGCCAUAGAGUAAGUGUAUCAUGGAAAUCGGGUUUAUUUUGUCUUUUGGGUCCAGAGGGAGUGUCCAUAAUGGCAGGGGUAGCAUGGCAACAGGUAGCCAGAGCAGGAAGCUGAGAGACCACAUGUUCAAUUGUAAACAGGAAAUGAACUGGGAACUAGGAUUGGGGCAAGGCUACAAACUCUCAAAGCCUGUCCCUGCUGACAUACGUCCUCCAGCAAGGCUGCACCUCCUAAUGUCUUAUAAUCUCCUCAAACCAAAUGGAUAUUAGGUGUUCAAAUGCUUGAGCAUAUAGGAGACAUUUCUCAUUUAAACUGCCACGGUACACGCUCAGUGAAUCAUCUUAAUGCAAACCAGGCUUUUGUCUUCAUAUUAGUGAAGAGGCCAAUGACAAACCACCCUGAGUGUCAAACACAUGACACAUGAACAUACUCGGUGUCUGUGUCCACUCACAUCCAGAGGCAGCCCACAUCCAGCUGAAAGAAAGCCUUCUAUCUCCAUGGCCACAGGUCUACACGCUGAGCAUUGGCUUUUGUUAAUUAUUAAUAGCCUGGGGCAUUACCAAUCUCUGAGUCAGGAGCCAUAUUUAGCAAUCUAUUAUUUUAAAAGAAGCAAUACAAACUAAUCAAGAAUUGUAAUGAUAAAUAAUGAGAACUUUUGGCUGCCUUGAACACAAUUAAAUACAACCACCAAUUCCUAACACUUUGGCUAACUCAGAUUUUAUUGUAUGCUAUUCACACCCCACCCCAGCUUUGUUUUAACUCAAUCUCUCCCCUUUCCUCUUUCACAAUAAAGGGCAAAAUUAGUGGUAAAUACACACUGUGAGGUGAUUCUCCAAAAUUGAUGGUUUCUACAUAGCAGAGAAUAUGAUAUCAUUUCUUCCUUAGAGGCAAUUUCUACUCCUUACAGCAUAGUGGAUUUCAAAACUGAUUUGUAUGGGAUCUAAUGUCACUCUGUCAUAGUCAGCAGUUUGCUUGUGCAGCUGUGGUCUUAAUUUGAUUGAAGAAGAUAGAGGUAAGAGUUGCAGUAGGUUUUAGUACACCCAUACAGUUUGUAUCAUCAAUUCCAGAACACUCUCACCCUCCCACCCAAAGAAACCCUGGACCUACUAGCUGUCACCCUCAUCCCUCCCUCCCAUUUCUACCCACAAUCCCUGCUUCUUGAACAAUGAAUUUUUUAUCUCCAUGGCUUUCCCUAA
rnacentral:lncRNA from 1 species